GAUAAAAGAGUUCGUGCAUGUCGGAGUGACAGAGUUGUACCUUUGCUUUUUGCACGGUGGAUUUUGAGCAAAAAAUUAGAUUGAUUCUGCACGGUUCCUCCCUGGGAGUAAAGGGAAAUAACGUCCGGAGCACAAGUUCAAGUCCGACCAUGAAGCUGCGAAAUUUCAAUUAUAUUAAGAAUUCUGCAGAUGCUGGAAAUUCAAGCAACACACAAAGUUGCUGGUGAACGCAGCCGGCCAGGCAGCAUCUCUAGGAAGAGGUACAGUCGACGUUUCAGACCGAGACCCUUCGUCAGGACGAACUGAAGGAAGAUCCAAAACUCAUCCCUCUACCAUUGAAAUAGGACUGAAGGAUUCGGAAAAACUGUUCAGUGGGAGAAAAAGAAAUUAAAAUAAUUAACCGAGAUGCUGCCUGACUGAGUAUUUGGACGCUAUAUCAGAACUGAACAUUGAGAAGACAAGUGCACUUUAAUUUGCAGAGAGGGGAAGGUGGAGAUAACAGAAUGAAUGAUCACUUUUCCAGUUCUGACAACGGGUCCCUCAAGCAGAUUUCAAAAAUCUGCUAUUUUUUUUGUUCCAAAUAAAAUCAAACCAUAAAGCAUAAGAGUACAAUCAAUGAAGGAAUCAGAAAAAAAUGUAGUAUGUAGUAGAUUUCCACAGUUUGUUCUUACCUAUCUAGG